rnacentral:rRNA from 1 species
CGCCUUGCCAGCCCGCUCAGAAACUCAAAGGAAGUGACGGGGGCCCGCACAAGCGGUGGAGCAUGUGGUUUAAUUCGAUGAUACGCGAGGAACCUUACCUGGGCUCAAAUGUAUGUUGACGUAUUCUGAAAGGGAUACUUCUUCGGACAAUAUACAAGGUGCUGCAUGGUUGUCGUCAGCUCGUGCCGUGAGGUGUCGGGUUAAGUCCCAUAACGAGCGCAACCCCUAUCAUUAGUUGCCAACGGGUGAAGCCGGGCACUCUGGCGGGACUGCCAUCGACAAGAUGGAGGAAGGUGGGGAUGACGUCAAAUCAGCACGGCCCUUACGUCCAGGGCUACACACGUGCUACAAUGGCCGGUACAAAGGGCAGCUACCUGGUGACAGGAUGCUAAUCUCAAAAGCCGGUCUCAGUUCGGAUCGGAGUCUGCAACCCGACUCCGUGAAGCUGGAAUCGCUAGUAAUCGUGGAUCAGCCAAGCCGCGGUGAAUACGUUCCCGGGCCUU